rnacentral:rRNA from 1 species
ACGAACGCUGGCGGCAGGCUUAACACAUGCAAGUCGAACGCACCUUUCGGGGUGAGUGGCAGACGGGUGAGUAGCGCGUGGGAAUCUACCCUUCUCUACGGGAUAGCUCCGGGAAACUGGAAUUAAUACCGUAUACGUCCUGAGGGAGAAAGAUUUAUCGGGGAAGGAUGAGCCCGCGUUGGAUUAGCUAGUUGGUGGGGUAAAGGCCUACCAAGGCGACGAUCCAUAGCUGGUCUAAGAGGAUGAUCAGCCACAUUGGGACUGAGACACGGCCCAAACUCCUACGGGAGGCAGCAGUGGGGAAUAUUGGACAAUGGGCGCAAGCCUGAUCCAGCCAUGCCGCGUGAGUGAUGAAGGCCCUAGGGUUGUAAAGCUCUUUCAGUGGGGACGAUAAUGACGGUACCCACAGAAGAAGCCCCGGCUAACUUCGUG